CCCCUAGACGUUCUGGGCUGCACGCGCGCUACAAUAAUACGCACAGCGAGUAUCACCGAGCUCGAAAGGGCAAGGUAAACAAUAGAAAAGGUACUGUAAUGGUUAUAGAUCCUUGUAAUUAUUGAUCUUCAACGAGGAAUUCCUAGUAAGUAUGUGUCAUCAUCACGCACUGAUUACGUCCCUGCCCUUUGUACACACCGCCCGUCGCUCCUACCGAUUGGGUGAGCCGAUGAAACUCUCGGAUGUAGGCUAUUCAUAGCCCGCAGAAGAGAUUUGAAUCGUAGCGCUUAGAGGAAGGAGAANUCGUANCA
rnacentral:rRNA from 1 species